CUGAAAACAGAAGAGACGCUACUCCGCAGUUAACUGAGGGCUAACUGAUGAAGAAAUAGCGGUACUUUUGGCAGUGGAAGAUCCAAAUAUUUCUGAAUUUGAGCUGUCUGGAGAAGAAAAUGAGCUUGAUAUAGCUGUCAGAUCACAAACUCCAGCAGCUGAUGAGUAAUCAUCCAAAUCAGAUGACAAUGGGGUACCUUUGAGUGAGAGCCAACACAAAGGUACAAAAUGGAGACACACGACAGAGUUUAAUCCUGAAGUAUCAGAAUUUGCAACACCUGAUAUUCCGACUGUGAAGUCACCAUUUGAAUAUUUCACGCAAUAUAUUG